GAUGAACGCUGGCGGCGUGCCUAAUACAUGCAAGUCGAGCGAACGGACGAGAAGCUUGCUUCUCUGAUGUUAGCGGCGGACGGGUGAGUAACACGUGGAUAACCUACCUAUAAGACUGGGAUAACUUCGGGAAACCGGAGCUAAUACCGGAUGAUAUUUUGAACCGCAUGGUUCAAAAGUGAAAGACGGUCUUGCUGUCACUUAUAGAUGGAUCCGCGCUGCAUUAGCUAGUUGGUAAGGUAACGGCUUACCAAGGCAACGAUGCAUAGCCGACCUGGGAGGGGGAUCGGCCACACUGGAACUGAGACACGGUCCAGACUCCUACGGGAGGCAGCAGUAGGGAAUCUUCCGCAAUGGGCGAAAGCCUGACGGAGCAACGCCGCGUGAGUGAUGAAGGUCUUCGGAUCGUAAAACUCUGUUAUUAGGGAAGAACAUAUGUGUAAGUAACUGUGCACAUCUUGACGGUACCUAAUCAGAAAGCCACGGCUAACUACGUG
rnacentral:rRNA from 1 species